AUUGAACGCUGGCGGCAUGCCUUACACAUGCAAGUCGAACGGCAGCACGGGAGCAAUCCUGGUGGCGAGUGGCGAACGGGUGAGUAAUAUAUCGGAACGUGCCCAGUCGUGGGGAUAACGUAGCGAAAGUUACGCUAAUACCGCAUACGAUCUAAGGAUGAAAGCGGGGGAUCGCAAGACCUCGCGCGAUUGGAGCGGCCGAUAUCAGAUUAGGUAGUUGGUGAGGUAAAGGCUCACCAAGCCAACGAUCUGUAGCUGGUCUGAGAGGACGACCAGCCACACUGGAACUGAGACACGGUCCAGACUCCUACGGGAGGCAGCAGUGGGGAAUUUUGGGACAAAUGGACGCAAGUCUGAUCCAGCCAUUCCGCGUGCAGGAUGAAGGCCCUCGGGUUGUAAACUGCUUUGUACGGAACGAAAAGGUUUGUCUUAAUACGAUGAGNUCAUGACGGUACCGUAAGAAUAAGACACCGG
rnacentral:rRNA from 1 species